GCAAGUCGAACGGUAACAGGGUGCUUGCACCGCUGACGAGUGGCGAACGGGUGAGUAAUAUAUCGGAACGUACCUAGUAAUGGGGGAUAACUAUCCGAAAGGAUAGCUAAUACCGCAUACGCCCUGAGGGGGAAAGAGGGGGAUCGCAAGACCUCUCGUUAUUAGAGCGGCCGAUAUCAGAUUAGCUAGUUGGUGAGGUAAAGGCUCACCAAGGCAACGAUCUGUAGCGGGUCUUAGAGGACGAUCCGCCACACUGGAACUGAGACACGGUCCAGACUCCUACGGGAGGCAGCAGUGGGGAAUCUUGGACAAUGGGCGAAAGCCUGAUCCAGCAAUGCCGCGUGCGUGAAGAAGGCCUUCGGGUUGUAAAGCGCUUUUGUUCGGGAGGAAAUCCUAGAGGCUAAUAUCCUUUGGGGAUGACAGUACCGGAAGAAUAAGGACCGGCUAACUACGUGCCAGCAGCCGCGGUAAUACGUAGGGUCCAAGCGUUAAUCGGAAUUACUGGGCGUAAAGGGUGCGCAGGUGGUUGAUUAAGUGUGAUGUGAAAGCCCCGGGCUCAACCUGGGAAUUGCAUUGCAAACUGGUCAACUAGAGUAUGGCAGAGGGGGGUGGAAUUCCGCGUGUAGCAGUGAAAUGCGUAGAGAUGCGGAGGAACACCGAUGGCGAAGGCAACCCCCUGGGCUAAUACUGACACUCAUGCACGAAAGCGUGGGGAGCAAACAGGAUUAGAUACCCUGGUAGUCCACGCCCUAAACGAUGUCUACUAGUUGUUGGGGGGUUCGUCCCUUAGUAACGCAGCUAACGCGUGAAGUAGACCGCCUGGGGAGUACGGCCGCAAGGCUAANACUCAAAGGAAUUGACGGGGGCCCGCACAAGCGGUGGAUGAUGUGGAUUAAUUCGAUGUCACGCGAAAAACCUUACCUAGCCUUGACAU
rnacentral:rRNA from 1 species